UGGUGGAGUGAUUUGUCUGGUUAAUUCCGUUAACGAACGAGACCUCAGCCUGCUAACUAGUUGGACGAACUUUUUAGUUCGUAACAACUUCUUAGAGGGACUAUCGGUUCUGAGCCGAAGGAAGUUUGAGGCAAUAACA
rnacentral:rRNA from 1 species